AGCAGCGCACGGGUGAGAAACGCGUGGGUAAUCUACCCUUUGGAUUGGAAUAACCUGUCGAAAGACGGGCUAAUGCCAAGUAAGCUGUCGGAAGCGUGGAGCUUCUGCCAGGAAAGAUGGCGCAAGCUAUCGCCGAAGGAUGAGCCUGCGUCCCAUUAGCUAGUUGGUGAGGUAAAAGCUUACCAAGGCAAUGAUGGGUAGCUGGUCUGAGAGGAUGAUCAGCCACACUGGAACUGAAACACGGUCCAGACUCCUACGGGAGGCAGCAGUAGGGAAUAUUGCGCAAUGGGCGAAAGCCUGACGCAGCCACGCCGCGUGAGUGAGGAAGGCCUUCGGGUUGUAAAGCUCUGUCAUCUGGGAAAAAUAGACAAGAGGGGAAAGUUCUCUUGUUUUGAUGGUACCAGAGGAGGAAGCACCGGCAAACUCUGUGCCAGCAGCCGCGGUAAUACAGAGGGUGCAAGCGUUGUUCGGAAUUACUGGGCGUAAAGCGUGCGUAGGCGGUAUUGAGAGUCACGGGUGAAAUCCCCAAGCUUAACUUGGGAACUGCCUGUGAGACCUCAGUACUAGAGUGCGAGAGAGGAUGGUGGAAUUCCUAGUGUAGCGGUGAAAUGCGUAGAGAUUAGGAAGAACACCGGUGGCGAAGGCGACCAUCUGGCUCGUAACUGACGCUCAGGCACGAAAGCGUGGGGAGCAAACAGGAUUAGAUACCCUGGUAGUCCACGCCGUAAACUAUGCAUACAAGA
rnacentral:rRNA from 1 species